rnacentral:rRNA from 1 species
UACAGAGGGUGCGAGCGUUAAUCGGAAUUACUGGGCGUAAAGCGUGCGUAGACGGUUUCGUAAGUCGGGUGUGAAAUCCCCGGGCUCAACCUGGGAAUUGCAUUCGAAACUGCGAGGCUAGGGUACGGAAGAGGGAAGCGGAAUUUCUGGUGUAGCGGUGAAAUGCGUAGAUAUCAGAAGGAACAUCAGUGGCGAAAGCGGCUUCGUGGUCCAGUACCGACGUUCAGGCACGAAAGCGUGGGGAGCAAACAGG